UACGUAGGGUGCGAGCGUUGUCCGGAAUUAUUGGGCGUAAAGAGCUUGUAGGCGGUUUGUCGCGUCUGCUGUGAAAAUCCGGGGCUCAACCCCGGACUUGCAGUGGAUACUGGCAGGCUAGAGUGCGGUAGAGGAUGGCGGAAUUCCCGGUGUAGCAGUGGAAUGCGUAGAGAUCCGGAAGAACACCGGUGGCGAAGGCGGCCCGCUGGGCAACUGCUGACACUGAGGCGCGACAGCGUGGGGAGCAAACAGG
rnacentral:rRNA from 1 species